GACGAACGCUGGCGGCGUGCUUAACACAUGCAAGUCGAACGGUAAGGCCCUGCGUUUGCUGGGUGCUCGAGUGGCGCAAGGGUGAGUAUCACGUGAGUAACCUGCCCUUGACUUUGGGAUAACUCCAGUAAACUGGGGCGAUUACAGGAUAUGAGCUCCUGUGGCAUGUUGGGUGUAGGAAAGUUUCGCCGUUUGGGGACGUACUCGCGGUUUAUCAGUUUGUUGGUGGGGUAGUGGCUUACCAAGGCUUUGACGGGUAGCCGGCCUGGGAGGGUGACCGGCCACAGUGUGACUGAGAUGCGGCCCAGACUGCUACGGGAGGCAGCAGUGGAGAAUAUUGCGAGAUGGGCGGAAGGCGGAAGGAGCGACGCCGGGUGCGGGAGGACGGUCUUCGGGUUGUAAACGGCGUUCGCCUGUGACGAAGCGUGAGUGACGGUAAUGGGUAAAGAAGCAACGGCUAACUACGUG
rnacentral:rRNA from 1 species